CUUCGGAUUGGUGAGAGUGGCGGACGGGUGAGAAACGCGUGGGAACCUGCCCAUUGGUUCGGGACAACCGCGGGAAACUGCGGCUAAUACCGGAUGAGCUCUAGCGAGGAAAGAUUUAUCGCCGAUGGAGGGGCCCGCGUCCGAUUAGGUAGUUGGUGGGGUAAAAGCCUACCAAGCCGACGAUCGGUAGCUGGUCUGAGAGGAUGAUCAGCCACACUGGGACUGAGAUACGGCCCAGACUCCUACGGGAGGCAGCAGUGGGGAAUAUUGGACAAUGGGGGCAACCCUGAUCCAGCAAUGCCGCGUGAGUGAUGAAGGCCUUAGGGUUGUAAAGCUCUUUUGCCAGGGACGAUGAUGACGGUACCUGGAGAAUAAGCCCCGGCUAACUUCGUGCCAGCCGCCGCGGUAA
rnacentral:rRNA from 1 species